rnacentral:rRNA from 1 species
AUACGUAGGUGGCAAGCGUUAUCCGGAAUUAUUGGGCGUAAAGAGGGAGCAGGCGGCAGCAAGGGUCUGUGGUGAAAGCCUGAAGCUUAACUUCAGUAAGCCAUAGAAACCAGGCAGCUAGAGUGCAGGAGAGGAUCGUGGAAUUCCAUGUGUAGCGGUGGAAUGCGUAGAUAUAUGGAGGAACACCAGUGGCGAAGGCGACGAUCUGGCCUGCAACUGACGCUCAGUCCCGAAAGCGUGGGGAGCAAAUAGGAUUAGAUACCCUAGUAGUCCACGCCGUAAACGAUGAGUACUAAGUGUUGGAUGUCAAAGUUCAGUGCUGCAGUUAACGCAAUAAGUACUCCGCCUGAGUAGUACGUUCGCAAGAAUGAAACUCAAAGGAAUUGACGGGG